rnacentral:misc_RNA from 1 species
CAUUAAUAGACCAUCAAGCACAGCUUGGCAUUGGGCACUCGUCCCCGCAGCGGACGUGCCCCAAAGACCUCGGCGGUGAAGCGUCGGCCUCAAGCGUAGUAGAAUCCUAUCCCGCUUACAGAGGACGCGUGUCACCCGCUCCUAAAACCCCCAACCUAAAGGUUGACCUCGGAUCAGGUAGGGAUACCCGCUGAACUUAA